rnacentral:lncRNA from 1 species
UCCGUGACCACCUCUACUGGUGCUUGGUUUUGGAGAGCUUGGGGGUGUCCGGGAAGUACAUACCAGGUGAACCAUAUGAUAUUCAUCUUGCGGCUUGCUGGGGUAAACGUCGGAGAGGUGCGACUUCAGCCUGCCCACGGUCCAGUCCAGAAAGCAGUUGAUGGUCUGGUCGGUGUACUUCUGGUUGGGCGCCUUGAUGAUGAGGGUCACCGGGUGGCCCACCACGCCCUGCUCCAUGCUGCCGGGCCUGCCCCUCUCCCCCCGCCCGGCACACGGAGCCGCUCGGAGCCGCGGGCGCUCGGGAUGGGCUCAGCGCGCGGGGCGGAACUUCCGCAGGCAACGGGGGGCGCCCAUCCCCGAGCCGGGCGGGCAGGGAGGGGGGCGGCUAGGCGCGGCACACGCGGCCCUCCCACCGCCAACAGACACCACCCUCGGAAAGCCGCCUCCCGCACCCACAGGAAAGCCCGAGCUGAGUCGCACCACACCGCCUCGACCUACGGCCCGCCGCUGUUUGUGUAAAAUGGAGGCCGGAAGCGCGGCCUCCCUCCUCCGCCUACUCCUCCUCCUCCUCCUCCCCCGCCGCUCCCCGCGCCGGACGCUGAGGGGCGCCCGCAGGCCGCGCGGGAGGCUGGCACUGCGCAGGCGCGCUGCGACCUGCCGCCGGGCAGCGGGAACGGGGGGGAGGUGUGACGUGACGUGGCGGCUGUGGGGGCGGGAGGUAUCUGUAUGGGCAGAGCCGCCCUGCUCUGUCCGUUGCCUCCGUCACUGUCGUGUGGCGGGGAUGUCUUCGUGUAAUUUUUUCUACAUGAAAGGGCAUUGUCGCUAUCUAGGUCAGAACAGUAAACGGCUUGUUAAAACACUUUAAAAUACCCACCGUAGCGAAAAACAGCGCUUUCCUCGUACUUCUUUCAGUCUUCACGUGUAACUGCAGAAGGCGCUGUAGUUUGAAGCAGGUUUGCUUGUGUCGCUGACAAAGAAGGAGAAUGUUAGUUAAUCUCGGCACGACGAGCUAGAGGCACGGCAAAGGUUGCUGACGAAAGAAGGACCCCAAGGAACUCCACUGUCCAAAGGGAAAGAUGAACACAGGAUUCUGCAGAAAAACCCUCAGCGCUCAGUACCUAAUUUUUCCUUUUAAAUAAAACUAGGGUGCUCAUGUAGCAACAAAGACAGAGAAAACACUCUGAAUUUUUCUAUUUAUUGACACGUAAUUAUUUGCCUCCACAAGCGCUCCUUCGCAAACCUUAAGGUCCGAGGUGGAGCAUGGGGCCGCUGUGUUUCUAUAGCACCUGUUCUCCUUGAACAGCCUUAUCAAAUCAUACAUGUGGACAACUGGUACUUGACAUUUUCAAAUGUAGUAUUUAACAUACUCGUAUCACUUUCCCAGUUCUCUCCCUUGUUAAGGAACAAUUAUUUGCACUUGGAAUUCUGAACAUGCUGUCAUUACCAGGGCAUGCAACUUAAGUGCCCAAGAAUUUCCAAGAAUAGAAUAGAAUUUCCAAGCGCUGGUCAAAUAUUUGUAUGCGUGGUGAUGCGCCAAAAUGGAUCAGCUAGAGAAGCAAUUGCAAGGG